rnacentral:rRNA from 1 species
AGGGUUUGAUCAUGGCUCAGAACGAACGCUGGCGGCAGGCCUAACACAUGCAAGUCGAGCGCGCCCUUCGGGGUGAGCGGCGGACGGGUUAGUAACGCGUGGGAAUAUACCCUUUGGUACGGAAUAGCCUCUGGAAACGGAGAGUAAUACCGUAUGUGCCCUUCGGGGGAAAGAUUUAUCGCCAAAGGAUUAGCCCGCGUUAGAUUAGGUAGUUGGUGGGGUAAUGGCCUACCAAGCCUACGAUCUAUAGCUGGUUUUAGAGGAUGAUCAGCAACACUGGGACUGAGACACGGCCCAGACUCCUACGGGAGGCAGCAGUGGGGAAUCUUGGACAAUGGGGGCAACCCUGAUCCAGCCAUGCCGCGUGAGUGAUGAAGGCCUUAGGGUCGUAAAGCUCUUUCGCCUGUGAAGAUAAUGACGGUAGCAGGUAAAGAAACCCCGGCUAACUCCGUGCCAGCAGCCGCGGUAAUACGGAGGGGGUUAGCGUUGUUCGGAAUUACUGGGCGUAAAGCGCACGUAGGCGGACUGGAAAGUUGGGGGUGAAAUCCCAGGGCUCAACCCUGGAACUGCCUCCAAAACUAUCAGUCUAGAGUUCGAGAGAGGUGAGUGGAAUUCCGAGUGUAGAGGUGAAAUUCGUAGAUAUUCGGAGGAACACCAGUGGCGAAGGCGGCUCACUGGCUCGAUACUGACGCUGAGGUGCGAAAGUGUGGGGAGCAAACAGGAUUAGAUACCC